AACAUGGCGGGCGAGGUGGGGGCGAUGGCUCUGCGGCAUCUGCGGCUCCUUCAGCCGCCUUUGGGCUCCAUCAUCGCCCCCAAGCGCGGGGAGUCUCGGGGAAAGGCCACGCGCAGGGUUCUGGCUGGGCUCAUUACUGUCACCUUGAAGGGAAGGCCACAAAAGCCCUAAAAAGCUCUGACAUGCCACUUCAUCCAUUGGAAAUGGAAAUAACUCCACAGUGCCCCUCCUCUGCCAUGUCCACAUCACAGGAGUGAGCAGUUAUGCAAGCCAGAGCAUUGUCUGCCAGGCCACYGAGGUCGUCUGAUGUUAUCAAAGAGCUGCUACAGGGUGGAUUUGAAACAGCAAAAUCCUGGAGUCAUCCUUCACCAUGGAAAGGCCUCGUUCCUCCAAGGACAUGGGGACAAAAAGGGUUGAAGAGUAGCAGUCACUUCAGACACUUCCAGUUUGAAAAAGAACUGUAAAAAUGGCACCAUAAAACUUUAUUUCUGCUUCUCGCUGAGGCUGGAUCAGGACUGGCUGCAGGCACUGAGGAGAAUAUGUGCCUGUGUUUGGAGGAAGUCCUGGGAAUCUCUAGAACUCCAUCUCUUUCACUGUCCCACAGCAGAGGAAUAAAAAAAGAGGCAAUCCUGCAGGAAGGAACACAUGGCUGAGAUAAAACCUCCCUCUGGAUGAAGCUGACUUAGGGGCUUACAGUCCUUCAGCUUCCUUCAGCUUCAGUUCCCACAUGGUCAUUUAACAAGGAUGGAGAUGUUUCUCCUCCCUACAAGUCCUGCARAGUUGGAAACUUGGAAUUUCUUUUGCAGACGUGGAGGGAGAGUGGUGCUUGGUUUAUUCAUCAUCAUUGAUUGUGAUCUGUGUUCUUGUUCCACUGCAGUGCCAUGAGAUAAUUAAUACUAAAACACCCCUGCUUGUUAGUUUACAUAAUUCUGAUGCCUUUAAAAUCAGCAAAAAGGGGCUGUUGACAAUGCCCAAGGGAAAGCAGAAUUUAAUACAUUCUUCUUGCAUCCCGAAUUACUUGGCAGAGCUGAUGGUGCACAGGGGACCAGACUCCACGAUGAAAACCAAGCCUUGCUGAAAUCUGAAAGYACAGAUUGCACCCUGGAUGAAUGUGGGCAGGAGCUGGAUGAAUAAAGAGGUAUUAAUUGUUACUGCAUCUACCAUUGAAAUGGAAUAGAAGUGGGCAACAGUUCAAAAGCAAAGUAGGAUGGAAUUAAUUGGGUUUUCUCAUAACCUUUUUUUUUCUGCUCAGAAGUGUUAGAGCUUCACUCACAGCAG